ACCCCACCUGGUGGGAAUAGACUGAGUAGUUAUUGUUGUUGUUGUUGUUGUUGUUGUUAAGUACUGAUGAAUGAAACCUGAUGGUCUUCUUCCAUCAGAGAAUAAUUUGUUCCUUUAUCUCCUAUGCGUUAUCAGUAAUACCUUUCAUACCAACCAAAGCCCACAGCCAAAGGAAACUACAACGAGCGUUACGUUUUUCCAGUGUGGGCCUGUGGAGAAAGAGAACAAAAUCUACGAGAUGCAUGUGAGUUGAGGAGAGAGAGAAAGAGAGUGAAUUGAC
rnacentral:lncRNA from 1 species